CAGCCAUGUCAUGUUGAAACACCAGUUCUUGUACAAUCACUGAAGUUAAGCAAUGUCGAGCCUGGUCAGUAACUAGAUGGAUGGCCACUUGGGAACAGCAGGUGUUGUAAG